rnacentral:lncRNA from 1 species
CGCUUUCUAACGCAAAUAAUAAUAACAUCUAAAUUUCAUGAGAGUUUGGUGUCCCUGUUCUUAAUUCUAAAAAAUAGAAUCUCUCAAAUAAGAAUAAUAAAAUAAAAUAAUCUUAAGUCUCGUAUGCGAAAUUGAGUUUUUGUGUCAAAUUUUUUGUGCAAUUUGUAUAUUCGUUAGUUUCCGACUCAUUGAACAAAUAAUUGUAUUUAUAUAGAAAUGAUAAAUUAAGUAAAAUAUGUCAAUUAAGCAUAUUAUCAUCUAUAUAUUAUAAUAUUAACUAAUUUGACUAUCACUUAAAUAUAUAUUAUCUACUUUAUUUAUCUUUUGAAAUAUAUAUAUAUAUGUAAUACCCAAUUGGUGCCCGGGGCCCAAACUUAAUACAAACCCAAAUACAACACUCAUCCCAAAUACUUUUAAACCAAAAAAAUGGCCCAAAACACAAUAGUUCAACAUUUGCCCAAUACCCAGCCCUAACAAUUUUCAACAAAAGAAACCCUAGGCAACUUUCAUGCCUCAGCGCCGCGGCUGCACACCCCACGUCGUGGUAACCGUCUCACGUCGCAGCAACUCCAGCACGUUCUUCCUGCAGCAAACAACAAAUUACAGCCACGAACAAUAGUAGAAAAAUGUAAGGAAAACUGUGAAAAAGGAGCAGCAGUUUUUUGGCUCUCUUAUUUCGGCGAUUAAAGCCAAAUAGGAAUGGGUAAAAAGGGGGGCAAAAAUAUUGUAUACAGAUAUAUUGGAAAGAAGAAAAAGAAUAAAAAAGCAAUUUUGAAGGUAAUCAGGGGUUCCAUUUUUUUCUUUUUUUUUCUGUCUUGUUUUCUUUAUUUUCUUUCUUGUUCUUUAAAACAAAAAGAAACAAAGAGAAAGAGAGAAGGCUCUUACCAGAAGAGGUGCGCCGUUGACAUUGUUGCUUGAUUUCGGUGUGAGGAGCAAAGGAGAAGAUGAAGCAGCCCUUGUGGCUGCUGUUGCUAAAAAUGAAAUGGGGUUUUAAUUAGGUUUUAAAAUGGGUUUUAAACAUUGAUGGGUUAUUUACGUCUUUAACCCUUUCAUGUUUUCCAUCAUUGCAAAACCAUUGUUUUUUU